rnacentral:rRNA from 1 species
AAACAUCUUUUCUUGGUUUUUAUUUGAGAUUUGGCCUGCCCAAUGAUUUGUUUAAUGGCCGCGGUAUCUUGACCGUGCAAAGGUAGCAUAAUCAAUAGUCUAUUAAUUGUGGACUUGUAUGAAUGGUUGGACGAAAUAUUUACUGUCUAUUAUUUAUUUAAUAUAAAACUUAAAUUUUAAGUGAAAAUGCUUAAAUUUAAUUAUUGGACGAGAAGACCCUAUAGAUCUUUAUUUUUAUUUUUUAUUAUUAUUUUGGUUUAUAAUUUUAUAUUUUUGGGAUUGAUAUUAAUUUUGUUGGGGUGACAUGGGGAAAUAUUUAACUCUUUAUUUUUAUAUUCAAUUAUUUUUGUAAUAUUGACCUUUUAUUAUUGUUAUAAGAUAUAGAUACCUUAGGGAUAACAGCGUUAUCUUUUUUGAGAGUUCUUAUCGACAAAAGGGAUUGCGACCUCGAUGUUGGAUUAAGAUGACAUUUAGGUGUAGUAGCUUAAAUAGUAGGUCUGUUCGACCUUUAAAUUCUUACAUGA